rnacentral:rRNA from 1 species
UACGUAGGGUGCAAGCGUUAAUCGGAAUUACUGGGCGUAAAGCGUGCGCAGGCGGUUUUGUAAGCCAGAUGUGAAAUCCCCGGGCUUAACCUGGGAACUGCAUUUGGGACUGCAUCGCUGGAGUGCGGCAGAGGGGGAUGGAAUUCCGCGUGUAGCAGUGAAAUGCGUAGAUAUGCGGAGGAACACCGAUGGCGAAGGCAAUCCCCUGGGCCUGCACUGACGCUCAUGCACGAAAGCGUGGGGAGCAAACAGGA